rnacentral:rRNA from 1 species
CAGGAGGUUAGUGCAAUGGCAUAAGCUAGCUUGACUGCGAGCGUGACGGCGCGAGCAGGUGCGAAAGCAGGUCAUAGUGAUCCGGUGGUUCUGAAUGGAAGGGCCAUCGCUCAACGGAUAAAAGGUACUCCGGGGAUAACAGGCUGAUACCGCCCAAGAGUUCAUAUCGACGGCGGUGUUUGGCACCUCGAUGUCGGCUCAUCACAUCCUGGGGCUGAAGUAGGUCCCAAGGGUAUGGCUGUUCGCCAUUUAAAGUGGUACGCGAGCUGGGUUUAGAACGUCGUGAGACAGUUCGGUCCCUAUCUGCCGUGGGCGCUGGAGAAUUGAGGGGGGCUGCUCCUAGUACGAGAGGACCGGAGUGGACGCAUCACUGGUGUUCGGGUUGUCAUGCCAAUGGCACUGCCCGGUAGCUAAAUGCGGAAGAGAUAAGUGCUGAAAGCAUCUAAGCACGAAACUUGCCCCGAGAUGAGUUCUCCCUGAGACUAUAAGUCUCCUGAAGGAACGUUGAAGACGACGACGUUGAUAGGCCGGGUGUGUAAGCGCAGCGAUGCGUUGAGCUAACCGGUACUAAUGAACCGUGAGGCUUAACCUU